rnacentral:rRNA from 1 species
GACAGAGGUGCCAAGCGUUAGGCGGAAUCACUGGGCUUAAAGCGUGUGUAGGCGGAUUGGUAAGUACCUUGUGAAAUCCCACAGCUCAACUGUGGAACUGCUUGGUAUACUGCCUAUCUUGAGCCACUUAGGGGCUGUCGGAACAAAUGGUGGAGCGGUGAAAUGCGUAGAUAUCAUUUGGAACGCCAAAGGUGAAAACAGACAGCUGGGAGUGUGCUGACGCUGAGACACGAAAGCCAGGGGAGCAAACGGG